UUUGGUCAUUUUGGAUCUUGAUAAGGUUUUGAUGUUACGUGGUUUCUAUAGUUGAUCCACCGGAGCUUCUGGCCGCCGCCGGAGCUGUUGCCGGGGCCGGUUCGAAAUCGCAGCUGCUUCGUGUUGUUAUUCCGUGUGCUAUGGUUAUUGCGAAAGUGACUGGGAGCUGAGGUUUUGGUUGCCGGUGAUUUCGAGUUGAGGUGAAAAGGACUCGGUGAGACGUUUGGGUUAUGGAUUUGCGUUUUGAGAUAUGGGCGCAGAAGUUACGAAGAGUUUAUUUAUUUGUUGUCGAGAUGC